CCCUCCCGCCCCCGACCAUGGAGGAAGACUCCUCGCCCCCUCCCCCUGCGCCUCUUCUCCCACUGGUGUCCGGGUCUGGCCAACCCCUCUCAUGCUCAGGGAUGUUUCGCCAGCAAAUUCUCCCGCCUCCUCCACCCGCUUUUCCCUCUAAGAAGCAUCCUUGCCGGGGCCCCGCGACACGCUGGGACAGCUCUCCGCCCCUCGACGCCUGACUCACGGCUGACACCCAAACUCAGGUGACAAUGGAGGCAAUCAGAAGGCUCCUUUUUAAACUAGAGGCAAGCAGUCAGCAUUCUGAUGGGCUAACAGAAGAAAAGAAGACGGCUUUCAGUGACAUGCAAACGAAGUUAUUCCCCUCGACACCGGGCUGUCUUUGGAAUCGGAUGGGCUAGUCAAACUGCCAAGCAAACUGAAGAUGCAAAACAGGUUACAACAGUGCCAGAGGCUGAAAACAGCCUGCAGAGGGCCUGGACACCAGCCUGAGGCUUACAGGGAGGAGUCUUCCCUCAAAGCCCACCAAGGUGUCCUGGAGCACCGCACCUGCAGUCUGAUCUUUCGUUAACACUUGCGGACAGUCGUCAUCUCCCGCACUUACGGAUACCCCCAGACUGAAUACCAGCCAUCCAUCCGCCCUCCCACCCAUUCAACAUUGUAAGUUCCAGGCACCGUGCUAUGAACAGAAAAACCGGUGGUGACGAUGAUGAUGAUAGCUAACGUGUACUUGGCACUUGGUAUGCACCUGGCAUCGUACUGAUGACUUAAACAUCUAUUUCAUGUCACACACAGAUCAAUGUAAUGAGAGAAGUGGUAUUACUAUCCCCACUUCACAGAUGAGAAAACUGAGGCAGACAGAGGUCAAGCACAUGACCUAAGUUCCCACAGCUGGGUUGAGCUGGGACUUGAACCAAGAAAGCCUGAGUCUGGAGUCCUCACCUUGAUCUCAAGACGCUGCCUCUUCAAGUGAUUUGGGAUCAUUCCCCUCAAAUCUGGGAUCAUGGGAAUUAUGGCUAACGCUGCAAUCUUCAUUCCAAAGUCUCACACUAAAAAUUUACUUUGUAGCCAAAAAGUUACAUUAAAUGUUGUUGUAGUUUUGUUCGGAAUGUUGUUAAACAUUCACCAGGUUUGUCUGUUUCAGUUUUGGGUCAUCUCACAAUUCAAACCCAGAUUCCACUUAUCCUGUCUCGGUUGCUUAGCCUCCGAAGUAGAGACGCUCGGUUGGUUUUUCAGUGGACAUCAAGUCUCUGAUUUACACAUGUUUCAUGCACCAAUGGCUUGAAAGAAAAGCCCAUGAAAUGAUAAUACAUCAUCCACCGAGACAGCCUCUGAAUGCGUCCUGAAUGCAUGGUGGGAAGUGGACAGUCCCAGUCACGAGCAGAAGAUUUCCUGUUGGGCUGCAAAACGCUGAGUCACAGAAGGCCUGGGGUGGUAUCUCUCUGUGUGGCUUCUGACCCAAAUUCCCUGAUCCUCUGACACCUGACGGAGAACCUUGGAGGCCUCUUCCUGUGCUUCACAUGUCACCCAAGGAGAAUUUAAUUAUGGGAGAAUGCUCCUGUACCUGACUUUGCUGUUUAAAUAGAACCCCCAGAGACAUUUUUAACUUGCAACUUACAAGUUCUGUCUAGGAGAAAAGAUAACCCUCAGUGUUUAUUAUCUGUCAAAUAUUAACCAGUUUUGUACCUGUUUGCAAAAGUAUUAUCGAUUUGCCCCACAGACUAUAUAA